rnacentral:rRNA from 1 species
AACUAACGCUGGCGGCGUGCCUAACACAUGCAAGUCGUACGAGAAAGUCGGCUUCGGCUGAUGAGUAAAGUGGCGCACGGGUGAGUAACGCGUGGAUAAUCUGCCCUUGAGUGUGGAAUAACGUACCGAAAGGUGCGCUAAUACCGCAUAAUGCCUGGCAACACAAGUUGUCCGGCCAAAGAAGGCCUCUGUUUACAAGCUUUUGCUCAAGGAUGAGUCCGCGUACCAUUAGCUAGUUGGUGGGUAACGGCCUACCAAGGCUACGAUGGUUAGCUGGUCUGAGAGGAUGAUCAGCCACACUGGAACUGAGACACGGUCCAGACUCCUACGGGAGGCAGCAGUGAGGAAUAUUGCGCAAUGGGGGCAACCCUGACGCAGCAACGCCGCGUGAGUGAGGAAGGUUUUCGGACUGUAAAGCUCUGUCGAGCGGGAAGAAAUGUACCAUGGCUAAUAUCCAUGAUAUUUGACGGUACCGCUAGAGG